rnacentral:rRNA from 1 species
GGAUGAACGCUAGCUACAGGCUUAACACAUGCAAGUCGAGGGGCAUCAGUUUGGUUUGCUUGCAAACCAAAGCUGGCGACCGGCGCACGGGUGAGUAACACGUAUCCAACCUGCCGACAACACUGGGAUAGCCUUUCGAAAGAAAGAUUAAUACCGGAUGGCAUAGUUUUCCCGCAUGGGAUAAUUAUUAAAGAAUUUCGGUUGUCGAUGGGGAUGCGUUCCAUUAGGUAGUUGGCGGGGUAACGGCCCACCAAACCAACGAUGGAUAGGGGUUCUGAGAGGAAGGUCCCCCACAUUGGAACUGAGACACGGUCCAAACUCCUACGGGAGGCAGCAGUGAGGAAUAUUGGUCAAUGGACGAGAGUCUGAACCAGCCAAGUAGCGUGAAGGAUGACUGCCCUAUGGGUUGUAAACUUCUUUUAUACGGGAAUAAAGUUAGCCACGUGUGGCUUUUUGUAUGUACCGUAUGAAUAAGGAUCGGCUAACUCCGUGCCAGCAGCCGCGGUAAUACGGAGGAUCCGAGCGUUAUCCGGAUUUAUUGGGUUUAAAGGGAGCGUAGGCGGGUUGUUAAGUCAGUUGUGAAAGUUUGCGGCUCAACCGUAAAAUUGCAGUUGAUACUGGCGACCUUGAGUACAGUAGAGGCAGGCGGAAUUCGUGGUGUAGCGGUGAAAUGCUUAGAUAUCACGAAGAACUCCGAUUGCGAAGGCAGCCUGCUGGACUGUAACUGACGCUGAUGCUCGAAAGUGUGGGUAUCAAACAGGAUUAGAUACCCUGGUAGUCCACACAGUAAACGAUGAAUACUCGCUGUUUGCGAUAUACAGUAAGCGGCCAAGCGAAAGCGUUAAGUAUUCCACCUGGGGAGUACGCCGGCAACGGUGAAACUCAAAGGAAUUGACGGGGGCCCGCACAAGCGGAGGAACAUGUGGUUUAAUUCGAUGAUACGCGAGGAACCUUACCCGGGCUUGAAUUGCAACUGAAUGAUGUGGAGACAUGUCAGCCGCAAGGCAGUUGUGAAGGUGCUGCAUGGUUGUCGUCAGCUCGUGCCGUGAGGUGUCGGCUUAAGUGCCAUAACGAGCGCAACCCUUAUCGAUAGUUACCAUCAGGUUAUGCUGGGGACUCUGUCGAGACUGCCGUCGUAAGAUGUGAGGAAGGUGGGGAUGACGUCAAAUCAGCACGGCCCUUACGUCCGGGGCUACACACGUGUUACAAUGGGGGGUACAGAAGGCAGCUACACGGUGACGUGAUGCUAAUCCCUAAAGCCUCUCUCAGUUCGGAUUGGAGUCUGCAACCCGACUCCAUGAAGCUGGAUUCGCUAGUAAUCGCGCAUCAGCCACGGCGCGGUGAAUACGUUCCCGGGCCUUGUACACACCGCCCGUCAAGCCAUGAAAGCCGGGGGUACCUGAAGUGCGUAACCGCAAGGAGCGCCCUAGGGUAAAACUGGUGAUUGGGGC